AGCGAACGCUGGCGGCAGGCCUAACACAUGCAAGUCGAACGAAGUCUUCGGACUUAGUGGCGGACGGGUGAGUAACACGUGGGAACGUGCCUUUAGGUUCGGAAUAACCCAGGGAAACUUGUGCUAAUACCGAAUGUGCCCUUCGGGGGAAAGAUUUAUCGCCUUUAAAGCGGCCCGCGUCUGAUUAGCUAGUUGGUGAGGUAAAGGCUCACCAAGGCUACGUUCAGUAGCUGGUCUGAGAGGAUGACCAGCCACAUUGGGACCGCGACACGGACCAAAUUCCUACGGGGGGCAGCAGUGGGGAAUCUGGCGCGAUGGGCGAAAGCCUGACGCAGCCAUGCUGCGUGGAUCAUGAAGGUCUGAGGAUUGUAAAUUCCUUUCACCGGUGAAGAUAAUGACGGUAGCCGGAGAAGAGGCCCCGGCUAACUGCGUGCCAGCAGCCGUCGUAACAC
rnacentral:rRNA from 1 species